UACGUAGGUGGCAAGCGUUGUCCGGAUUUACUGGGCGUAAAGAGCGCGCAGGCGGUCGUUCAAGUCGCGUGUGAAAGCCCCCGGCUCAACUGGGGAGGGUCACGCGAUACUGAUCGACUCGAAGGCAGGAGAGGGAAGUGGAAUUCCCGGUGUAGUGGUGAAAUGCGUAGAUAUCGUAAGGAAGACCAGUGGCGAAGGCGGGUCUCUGGACAGUUCCUGACGCUGAGGCACGAAGGCCAGGGGAGCAAACGGG
rnacentral:rRNA from 1 species